AUUGAACGCUGGCGGCAGGCCUAACACAUGCAAGUCGAGCGAGCGGCGGACGGGUGAGUAAUGUAUGGGGACUGCCCGAUAGAGGGGGAUAACUACUGGAAACGGUGGCUAAUACCGCAUACUAUCGGAUAACCCAUAUGGGAUUAGCUAGUAGGUGGGGUAAAGGCUCACCUGGGCGACGAUCACUAGCUGGUCGGAGAGGAUGAUCGUCCACAUGGGAACUGUGACACGGCCCAGACUCCUACGGAGGAAGCAGUGGGGAAUCUUGCACAAUGGGCGAAAGCCUGAUGCAGCCAUGCCGCUUGUGUGAAGAAGGCCUUGGGGUUUUAAAGUACUUUCAGCGGGGAGGCGUUACCCACAGAGAAAGCGCCGGCUAACUCCGUGCCAGCAGCCGCGGUAAUAC
rnacentral:rRNA from 1 species